GAUGAACGCUGGCGGCGUGCCUAAUACAUGCAAGUCGAGCGAACAGACGAGGAGCUUUUUCCUCUGACGUUAGCGGCGGACGGGGGAGUAACACGUGGAUAGCCUACUUAUUCUACUGGGGUGAUUACGGGAAACAGGUGCUGAUACUACGGCAUAUGUUGAACCGCUUGGUUCAAUAGUGAAAGACGGUUUUGGUGUCAGUUAUGGCUGGAUCCGCGCCGCAUUAGCUGGUUGGUAAGGUAAAGGCUUACCAAGGCUACGAUGCGUAGCCGGCCUGAGAGGAGGAUCGGCCACACUGGAACUGAGACACGGUCCAGACUCCUACGGGAGGCAGCAGUAGGGAAUCUUCCGCAAUGGGCGAAAGCCUGACGGAGCAACGCCGCGUGGGUGAUGAAGGUCUUCGGAUCGUAAAGCUCUUUUAUUAGGGAAGAACAACUGCGUAAGUAUCUAUGGACGUGUUGACGGUACCUAAACAAAAAGCACCGGCUAACUACGUG
rnacentral:rRNA from 1 species